AGCCUACGGGAGGCAGCAGUGAGGAAUAUUGGUCAAUGGGAGAGAUCCUGAACCAGCCAAGCCGCGUGAGGGAAGACGGCCCUAUGGGUUGUAAACCUCUUUUGUCGGAGAACAAAACCCGGGACGAGUCCCGGACUGCGUGUGUCCGAAGAAAAAGCAUCGGCUAACUCCGUGCCAGCAGCCGCGGUAAUACGGAGGAUGCGAGCGUUAUCCGGAUUUAUUGGGUUUAAAGGGUGCGCAGGCGGCCUGUUAAGUCAGCGGUAAAAGCCCGGGGCUCAACCCCGGCUAGCCGUUGAAACUGGCGG
rnacentral:rRNA from 1 species